rnacentral:rRNA from 1 species
AUUGAACGCUGGCGGCAUGCCUUACACAUGCAAGUCGAACGGUAACGGGCCUUCGGGUGCCGACGAGUGGCGAACGGGUAAGUAAUACAUCGGAACGUGCCCGAUCGUGGGGGAUAACGAGGCGAAAGCUUUGCUAAUACCGCAUACGAUCUACGGAUGAAAGCAGGGGACCGCAAGGCCUUGCGCGGACGGAGCGGCCGAUGGCAGAUUAGGUAGUUGGUGGGAUAAAAGCUUACCAAGCCGACGAUCUGUAGCUGGUCUGAGAGGAUGAUCAGCCACACUGGGACUGAGACACGGCCCAGACUCCUACGGGAGGCAGCAGUGGGGAAUUUUGGACAAUGGGCGCAAGCCUGAUCCAGCCAUGCCGCGUGCAGGAUGAAGGCCUUCGGGUUGUAAACUGCUUUUGUACGGAACGAAAAGCCUUCUUUUAAUACAGGAGGGUCAUGACGGUACCGUAAGAAUAAGCACCGGCUAACUACGUG